rnacentral:tRNA from 1 species
CAAAUUAGAGCUUGAUAAGUAUUUCAGUUACAUUGAAAUGAUAUUAAAUAAUAUUUAAUUAAUUUGA